rnacentral:lncRNA from 1 species
CUAUAGUGGCAAGAGGUGGCUUGCGUUGGCUUAGAGUUGAGGUGGUGCAGUGGUGGAUGGUGGAGACAAAGGUCUCUAAGGAAGGGAAAUCGGUAAGAAGGUGUUGGGUUAUGAGAUCUAAAGCUGAUUGGUCUUGUUCUUGUUGUUGUUGAUUUGAAGAAGCCAUAGAUGAAUGAUAUAGGAGUCUUCUUCGUGUUUGUGUUUGUGAUUGUGGUUUUGAUUAUGGAUUUUGUUUUUUGAGAUUGGAGGUUAUAUAUAAAAGUGGGAGUGAGAGGUUUCGUGGUUAGCUUCUUGGGUUGGAGAGAGGAAGGAUCCUUUUCAAUUGUUUUGACUUGUUUAGUUCCAUUGUUGCUUUGGAGUGUGGCAAGUGGACUACUCUAGUCUCUAUAACUUAUUAUUUUAAGAUAAGGAACGAUUCGUGGCUCUGUCUUUUUCUUGUGAGGGUCCAUCAUCAAAGCUAGUGCCUACUUCCAGGCUUCUUCAUAUCCCAGACACAAAUUAAAAAGGGAUUUUUGUCAAUAGUGGCAUAAAAAAGAGUUUUAGUUUUUCGAAGUGCCAUUAUGAAAAACUCCUUUUGCAAAUAGGUCAUUGUUGUACGUUGUGGCACAUGUAAAAUACAUUCUUGUCCUUGUAGACAGCAAAAGAUAUGUGAGCCUUUAUACAAAGAGGGUUACGAUUUGCACAAGACUUCAUCUCUUUCUCUACUGCUCUCUUUUCCCUAGCCCACCAAAUUCUCUCUUGUUUCCACCACCAGCAGCUCUUGUCCUCCACUUUCAUUAUUCACGUCCAUUAGAUUUUCCUCUAAAUUUGUUUGUCUCUCAUUUUCUUCUUCUUAUGCUUUUUCGUCCACCAGUUUCUUAUACGGAUCCCAAUCCACAUGAUAUGUCCAUUGGUCAUAAUCAUAUGAUGGUUCCUCCUCUUUCUCUACUCCAACCUUAUAAUACUCAUAACUCCCAUUGUCGCCUCCCUAGUCCACCUUCUUCCCCUUGUCUACCAUAAUUGGUCCAUCUCCUUAAGUAUCUUCGUCUAAUUUCAUUAGUUUAGUCUACAGGAUAUGGCAAAAUGAUGUUUUUAGAGGACAAAUCUGGAUAAUCGAUGGACAACAAGAUUGAUAGAUCUAAGAACAAUUUCGGGACCAAAACAAACUGACAAACAAUUGCCAAUGAUCAAGAGUUACCUUUUGCUUGGAUCUGUAAAUCGUGGACGAAUAUUAUGUUUAGAGAAAGAGAUACAUAAAUUUGAAUUAAUUCCUUGGGUUACCAAUGCAACUCUGGCAGAAUUAAAUGCUCAGCCGAGCAGUCAAACCAUCGUUUCCAGCAGGCCAUAUGGAGGGCAUUUCCGUCUUUCUUUGUUGCAAAAAUGGCCUUCCCCAUAACAAGUUUUUUAAAUGGCGUUCCGAAAAAUGAAAGUCUAAAAGAUGGCAAAAUCGUUAAAAAUUUCAAUUAAAAAUGGUUUUAUUUUUUUUAAGAGAAAUAAAAGAAAAAUUGACACUUUUUUCGUACUUUUUGGGUAAAGGUAAGUUGACACAAAUAAAGUUGUAUUUUGGAAAAGGUUGAUGCACUAAUGUGUAUAUGUCCACAGUCCACUUGCCUAUGUUAGACACCAAAUUUAUGUCUCUAUGCAAGUCGUUUAUUUGGAAGGAUUAUCCCUCUGUUCUUAUAACCUCCUUCAUUUCUUCCUCGCUUGGAUCAUAAAAUGGCAUUUUGAACGAAUUUACCUUUGACACACUUACAAGACCCUAUGUAAAUACAUAAAUAACAGAAAGAUCAAAAUUUUCUAACCCUCUGUUGAUACCUCAGAGACUAGGUCGUGGAAAGAACCAGAUAACAAUAUAUUACAACAUUCCCUGUACAAAUGAAUAAAUGAUCAUCAAUAGGGUUUUAGUUUCUUUCCAUUAAUGUGAGAACCAUACGUCCACAAGACCAUAUCUUCAGAACGUAUUUUGAAAAAUGUCGUAAAAUCUCUUUGGAUUUAUUACAGUUAAACUUGAACUUGUAUUCACUAAGAAGACUUGAACUUGUUAUACAUGCAUUCAUCUUAUUAUUCUCCAGUUCGUCGAGAACCUUACAAGUCCACAAUACGAUCGUUAUACGUCUUUUUACUUUUAAGGAAGUUUAAAUGUCUUUAGGUGAAAAAUGAUGACGAAAUCUAUAUAAGACCUUAGAGAAAUCUAAAAAAAUAUAUCAAGGAAACAACUACGGGAGAAAACCUAUUAUUCAACCAAACUAAAAACAGUGGAAAGAUACUAUAACUACAAAGAUUCAACGACCUAUUAGUGUCCAAUGGAAGUUGGCAAAAUUCUUUGGGCAAUAUAUAUGUCUGUCAAUCCUCCUCAUUUGAUCUAGAUUUUGGGUGUGAGUUUGGCCCACACUAAUAUAGUACCAAAACCAAGGUCGAUUAUGGGCUAUCACAUGUGGAUGUCUAGUCUCAUAAAAUUGUCGCUUGAGAUGUACAAUCCUGAGUGUGAGGGCCGAGGAGGUGUAUUAAAGUCUCAUAUUGGAAGUUAGCAAAUUCCUUGGUCAAUAUAUAAGUAUGUGGCAAUCUUCCUUCUUUGAGCUAGCUUUUGGGUGUGAGUUAGGCUUACACUAAUACGACCUAAAAUAGAAGGAUAAGUAAAAACAAUCCUAAACCAAACAACAUCACUUAACAUGUACCUCUCCAAGAUAAAAAAGUGCAAACCCGUGACCCUAAACGAUCAAAUAGACCCCUAAAAAACUCGAAUACUCAACAAAGAAUCGGCCAUCUAGGGAGGCAUAACCAGCAAGAUAAUUAUGGCUGGAAACCGAGACUAGAUUCAUUCGCGGUCAAACCGCGCUAUCGAUCGAAGAAGAUCCGGCGAAUCCAAUCUUGCCUCCACCUAGUCUCAAACCAAUGAACCACCGUCUUCCAAAUGACCUAAAACAGCCUAAUCACACAAAAAAUAAUCCGUAGAACCGACAACCAAAUCACCACGAUCGCAUUACCAUUCGGGUUUGGCAGACGCCUCAAGUUUAAUCCUCGAUCUUAAUUCUUAAAUCUGAAACCUCACCUCUAUAAGUCGGAACCACCAUCUUCUAAAUUUAAUAACCCUAACAUACCUCUCACGUCACCGGUAAAAAAAAGGCCGGUGAUCAGAGAAACAAAGAUCCAAAUAAAGAGAUUAAAAAAUUGAAAAUAAAAAAAGGCCGCGUUUCACUUAAAAAACCCUAAGUGCUCCUUCUUCGCUUUCCUCUGUUUUUCCUCGGAUUUAAAACUCAAAAUUCGUAAUUCUCCAUAUCACUGAACGCUUCCAAUUCAUCAUCCUCGUACGCUCCCAAAUUGCCUUUCCUCUUCGCUUCCAGAUUCUCCUCUUCCGGUCGCCGCCGGAGACCUAGUAUCUCAUCUGCUACGUAUAAUGGUGUCGCCGAAAGAGUUAGUGGCCAUAGUACACUCUUCACUGCUCGGAACGUCACUGCCAACUCCAACGCAGCGUAUCGAACUCACUCAUGCCAUUCGCAACUCAUUUUCCUCUAUUCAGAACCUCCUCUCUUUCCCGGUACUUGCUCGAUUUCCUUUCUACUCGAUGAUACGUCCUUGUGUUUUCUGGGUAUAGUAACCAAAUCUUUUUUUUCUAAUCUCUGGCAGCCUCCGAAGCCGUCGGACAGAGCGCAAGUUCAGUCCAAAGAAAUUCGACUCCCGGAUUCGCUGCCAAUAUCUUUGGAUGACCAAGAUGUCGCUAUUGUAAGUGUUUCUUUCGACUUCUAGAUGACAUUCUUGGUCUUGUGGAGGUUUAGAUUUUAGAAUUUAGAUAUGAAAACAAUUGACACCGAUUAAAGCAAGUUUUGCUUCAAUUUUGCGGAUGGAUUGAAUAAAAUGGUUGUCUAAGUAGAUGUCUAACAAGGCAGAAUUUCGCUGUUUCCUUUACCAUGUUGAAUGAACUUUUAGAAUGUGCUUGGUUGCUGCUCAUUUCCGAUGUAUGAGCUUCUUUUCAUAGGGAUUGUGGUUUGUCCUGAUGAUUUGUUAAAUCUACCAUUUGACACACAUUACCACCUUUAAGCUUCUGUUUAAUUUGAAAUAUGUGCAAUGAUAUAUUUGGUUGAUAUCUUACUGCUUCAGAAAAAAGGUGCCUUUAACAACUCUAACGGCCUAUGUUCUUCAUAUAUUGUUAUUGAUUGUAGAGCUUGAAACUGAGUGAUGAGCUUCACCUAAAUGAGAUAGAUUCUGUUCGUCUGCUUGUAUCUGCAAAUCAGGAGGUGCGAUUCCCUUCGCUUUGCUUCUACUCUCAUCUCUUAGCUUCUAAAGCUCUGGAGUUAUUUUCUGCGAUAUGUUCUUAUAUUUUAUCCUCUGUUUAGUGGGGCUUAAUGGGACGGGACCCUCUUGAGAUUCAACGGCUUGCAACUGGACUAUGGUAUACAGGGAGAAGAGAUCUUACGUCAACUCUAUACACACUCCUGAGGGUAGCUUACUCUCUCAUUAUAUUUCUGGGUUUUUUUUUUGUUCUUCUAGUGUUCUUAACGUCAUCGCACAUUACCAUUUUUCUGGUUGAAUAGGCAGUUGUUCUGGACCAGGGGCUUGAACCUGAUCUUAUAGCUGACAUUCAGGGACUCUUAGAAGAACUUAUUAAAGCUGGGCUCAGACAACGGUUGAUUACUCUUGUAAAGGUAUUAACCACUUGGGUUCUUUUAAGUUACAUUUUCAUAGGUGUCAAAUAUACGUAACUUGAAUAACUUCCUACUUUUCUGCUUGAAUUUCUUCUGAAGCACUCAUCUUAUUGACAAUCAUUCUCAUUAAUGCAAAGACUAUUCUCUUGUUCGUUGUCAUAUCUGUCUAGCUACACCAUUUCAAUCUACUUUUCCAUUUGUUUCUCAUGAUCGUAGAGAAUAAACAAUCUUUCUCCAAUUAGUUAAUUGAAUCCUAUUUUUAAAUGUGUAACUGUUACUUAUUGGGCAACCAUAAGGUAUUGAGACCAUUACAAAUUUUGUCCACAUCAGGAAAAUUAUUGUUUGCUGUUUUCGUCCGCUCUAAUAUGUCAUUGUUGUCAAUGCUGCCUGAUACCUUUUAAAGUUGUCAACUACACGAGCUUCAUAGUUCAAGACACUUGGGGUAAUGCACUUCCUAUGUAAUAAUCAUCUUUGAGAUUUGUUUUUAGUUGUCAAUAUUAUCUUUAAAUUCAAAGACAGUUGCAGUACAUUUAUUUUACCAUUUGUUAUUAACUUCUCACUUUGCAUUAACAUCAACAUGAGUUCAAGCUAACUCUUAAAAUAUUCAGAUCUAACUUGCUUUGGAUUCAAGUGUUCACAUAAAUGAGUCAAUAUAUUUUAAAGAUUUACUUUCGAAACUUCAAAAAUCCAAUGAUUGUCCCCUAUGUCCAUUGUCUUCAUAGCUGAACAUUUGCAGCCAAAGCAUUCUUUAAUCUAGUAGGAAAUAUUAGAUGUAAAAGUCCUUUCAGACGAUCUUGUGACUUGAUAUUUUUUGUUCUUUGGCAUUAUUAUGUAAUUAUUGUCAUGAUAGCAAAUUCUUUGUUGCUAGGAACUCAAUCGGCAGGAUCCUACUGGAUUGGGUGGGCCCUUAUGCGAGCGAUACCUUAUUGACUCAAGAGGUGCUCUUGUUGAACGAAGAGCUGUUGUUCAGAGGGAAAGACUGAUACUGGGACAUUGCCUUGUUCUUUCAAUUUUGGUUGAUAGACCUGGUAAGCUCGUUCAUUUCUUAUAAAGCUUUUGUGCGAAGAUUAAGAAUGCUACUUGUUAAAGAAAUUCAGCUGUUGGAUUCAGUGCUUUUCGUUAAUGGUUUGACUUUUCCAUUAAAAGAUACAGCAUUAGUUCUAUUGUGUCCCAUAGUAAGUGAAACUAUUGAUAAUUGGGUUUCACGUUUGAUAGGACACUAUAUAUGCUAGACUAGUUAGAUCAUUGGUCAAUGUGCUAUGAGAUAUAUUGUGUUUUCAUAUAUAUUAUUGCUAUGUCUGUGUAAUUAUGCUGAAGUUGAGUAUCAUAUGUGAUUAUGGUGUUUGGUAUUCGUACUCCAUUGUUCUGAUCUUAUUUAUCAAAAAUUUGAAAAUUUUGAUUACUAUUUAAUAUUAAGUUUUUUUUUUUUAUUUAUAGUAUUAAAACACUCUUGUGAUUGUAUAUCUUUUGUUAUUUCUCGAAGGAUAUUUUCUAUUUCAAUUUCAUUCUUCUAACAAGUUUGUUUAUUGCAGGUUCGAAAGAUGUGAAGGAUAUAUACUACGUUUUUAAAGAUAAUGCAGCUCAAUUAACUGAAGGAAAUGACACCAUAAGUUCUCAGGUUCAUGCUAGUCCUGUUCAUGACGUAGAGGCUUUUGAAGUUUUCUUUCUUCCCUGCGUAUUAAAUUUAAAAUGUGUUAAUUUCUGAUAAAUGACUAUUUUCUUUGUUGCAGAUUACUUUUAGUCUUUUGUUUUCUCUCAUCAUCACCUUCGUAUCAGAUGCAAUCAGUGGACUAUCUGAUAAGUCAUCUAUGAUAUCUCAAGAUGCUUCGUUUAGGACAGACUUUCAGGAUAUUGUAAGACUAGUUGAUACAUUUUUCUUUCGCUUCUUCUCCCUGUCACCAAAGACCUUCCACUGCUGACACUUGAAAACACACCUAAUCACCUUUCAGGUUAUGGCUUCUGGCAGUGACCCCACUGCUGAUGGCUUCAUUGGUGGCAUAAGGCUUGCCUGGGCUGUACAUUUAAUGCUGAUACAUGAUGGAAUAUCUGGAAUGGAUACGAUUUCCACUGCUUCAACAAAAGAUAUGGGGCACAUAUGCUCCUGCCUGGAGUCCAUCUUCUCAAAAAAUGUGUUUCAAUUUUUGCUGGAUAAUGUUCUUCGAACUGCAGCCUACCAGGUACUUUCAUUAUGAACAUCAUCAUGAAUUCUAUGUGCUCAGUUAUUGUCCAUCAAAUGCGGGGUGCCUAUCUGGAUUCCCUGUGCACUUGAUUUCAUUUGACGAGCUAGUGGAAGAUUUACUUUGAUUUCCCAGCUAGUGGAUGACAUGUUUGGCUCCUUAAACUUUUAUAUUGAAUGAGCUAUUAUGCAUGGUUCAUGACUGUAUCAGAAAAAGAGCUAUUUUCUAAUGGUGCCUAUGGUGUUUAUAUUUUUCCUUCAUGACAGCUGUAGUGUAUAUUGUCUGUUUUAUGGUAAUGGUUAUAUGUGUUGGCCUGUAUGGAUACCGUUUUAAUCCUUCAUGAAUUCAAUUUUUACUUGAUUAGUCAUUCCCAAAUGUAAGAGUGUUCCUAUUUCUUUAUGCUGAUUUUUCUGCUUCUAAUCACAUUAUAUAUAUCUACUAAUGAUUUCAUUAUUUGAGAUAUGACUUUAUUAUAUUGGUGUUUGACGGGCUCCUCUUUGGAUGCUGUAUUCAUUCUUGUUUAGUCUCUAGGUUUUGCUUGUUAAGUCAGAUCUCAAUUUCAAGUCUCUUUCCAGUUUUAUUCUGUGAGCUUUGAUUUCCCUGACUCAACCCACGUUCCCCCUUGUGUUGGUCUAUCAAUGGUUGACCUUUUGUUAGUUGCUACAUGCAGAAUGAUGAAGAGGACAUGAUCUACAUAUAUAAUGCUUAUCUGCACAAGUUAGCCUCUUGUUUUUUAUCUCACCCGAUCGCAAGAGAUAAGGUUUGUUAAAUAUAUAGAUUAAUGUAUAUCUACUUAGUAUUUGUGUAUUGAUUAUAUGUUGGUGAUCAAAGUUUGAACGCUGCAACUUUAUCAUGUAAAGCUUGUAAUUUUUUCUCCUUACUUCAUGGUCUGAUAAUUAUGAUGAAAAUUGGUAGUAUCUGCUUUCCAUUUAGAGGGAGUAACCUUUUGAUGUAUCAGUCACAGAUUCUGAGUAUUUCAGCUGGAUCACUUAGGGGAUAUGAGUAGCAUAUAAACUUCAUUAAUGGCUGCACCUUAGAUCAUUGCUAUUUUUUCUGAUGGUUUGAUAGUGUCUGAUAAGUUGAAUGUAUGAGCCAAGAUGAGAAAUACAAUAUCGUAUCUACAUGUUUAUCUCCUGUGUCAAGCCUGACAUCAUUAUUUUGCAGGUGAAGGAAUCAAAGGACAUGGCUAUGAGUGUUCUAAAUUCUUACCGAACUUGUGAUUCGCUUGAUGGAAGUAUGCAGACUGAAGAGGCUGACAGGCCGCUGCCCUUCAUUUCUCUUAUGGAGUUUGUAAGCAAAAUUUAUCAGGUUGAGAACGACUACCAUAUGGAAGCAGUUAUUAUCUUUGUUUUUUUUUUGUUAAUUUUUCUCAAAUGUUGGAAAAUGAGUUUGCCUGGUAUCUUGAAGUUGAGCUCUGUUCAUAUGUUUUUUGGUAGCUUAUUUUGUUUUUCAUAGCACAGUGAGCAUUCAGAAUACAUCUCGAUCAUAUCUCAUUUUUCAUACCAUAUUCCUGUUUUUGUGUCUUUUGAUAUUUACAACCUUUUACAGAAGGAACCUGAGCUACUCUCCGGGAAUGAUGUCUUGUGGACAUUUGUGAAUUUUGCUGGAGAGGACCACACAAAUUUUAAAACUCUUGUGGCUUUCUUGGAAAUGCUGUGUACCUUGGUAUGAGAAAUCUUUAUAUUGGUAUUUUGGUGGGACAUCAUUUACUUGGUUACUCAUUGAGUUUCCUUGCUGUCAUCUUUAUUUGAUUUCAGGCUUCCACUCAGGAAGGUGCUUCUAAAGUUUAUGAGUUGCUCCGGGGUACAUCAUUCCGCAGUAUAGGAUGGCCCACUUUGUUUGAUUGUAUAAGAAUUUACGAUGAGAAGUUCAAGCAGUCUCUUCAAACUGCUGGAGCCAUGAUGCCAGAGUUCCUGGAGGGCGAUGCAAAAGCACUUGUCGCAUAUCUGAAUGUACUUCAGAAGGUUAUAUAACUCUAUUCCAAAUAUAUUCUGUUUCAACUUCCAUUCCACGUUUAAUAGUCUUAUAUGGUGCUUUUUAUCUAAGACAAGUUCAGCUUGUAUUCCUAGGACAAGUUCAGCUUGUAUUCCUAGGAACUGGGCUUAACUGCGAUUUGGUUCUAGUUGUUUACCUAAAUGCUUUCUCCGGGGUUAUGGAGAAGAGCCAUAUAAUUUUUCGCUAUGAGUUCCUAGGAGGGGAAUUUGUUUUUUAAAUGUCCUUGCAAAUGAUUCGUUCUCUGUGAAACUGAUGUUUGAACUUAAGAUAUUUUUUUUAUGGUCAAUAAGUUUAUUUUUCAUAUUCUGCAGGUUGUUGAGAAUGGUAAUCCCACUGAGAGGAAAAACUGGUUUCCUGAUAUCGAACCAUUUUUUAAGCUUCUUGGUUAUGAAAACAUCCCUCCAUAUCUGAAGGUCAGUGGUGUACUGGAGAUUCUUCCCCUUACACGUUGGACUCGCAAAUGAUAUGUGGAAAGCAUCUGGAAUCGGUAUCUAUAUAACUUGUGUUCAUUGUAACUUUAUUUUCUGCAGGGUGCUCUUAGAAAGACCAUUGCUGCCUUUGUUAAUGUCUUUCCAGAAAUGAGGGACUCUAUCUGGGCUUUUCUUGAGCAGUAUGAUCUGCCUGUUGUUGUGGGAUCACCAGUUGGAAAGAGUGACCAAUCUUCUCAGGUAAGUGCAUGGCUUCGAGGGAUAGUUAUUAGCAGAUUUUUUAACUCUACUUCUUUAGUUAAUAUUUCUCUUAUUAUUGAGAAUUUAUUAAAAUUUAUGCUUCUGCAUUUAUUUUCUAAACAUCUUAUACUUAUGCGUUAAAAGUGGGGUUGUCAUGUUGCAUAGACGAUUGAUAUCAUUUUUUGUUAUGUAAAUUUGAUGUUGGUAACACAAAAAAUAUUAAUAUUUGUCUAAUUCCUGCAUGUGAUGAAAGUUUUAGUUUCAUUUAUUUUACAUAAUACUCACAUAAUGCACUGUGCCAUGUUCAGUGCAGCUAAAACUUGGAAUAUCACGUGUUGUUUGAUGCUGCUUUUGCUUUUCCAGGUGGAGAGAAUCUUCAGCGUAUCGUCAAAACCUAAUCUCACAAUUCGCUUAUAUGCAGGUCUAUGAUAUGCAAUUUGAGUUAAAUGAAGUGGAAGCAAGGAGAGAACAGUAUCCUUCAACAAUAUCGUUCCUUAAUCUUAUAAACGCUCUGAUUGCUGGGGAGAAAGAUGUGAAUGAUCGUGGGCGUAGGUAGUAGUAGCCUUAGAUUGUUGUCUCUUUCCAUGAAGCUUAGUCUUCGUUUUUCUUGGUCUAAUGUUUAUAUGUAUAUUUUUGUAGAUUUAUUGGCAUCUUCAGGUUUGUGUAUGAUCAUGUAUUCACCCCUUUUCCUCAGAGGGCAUAUUCUGAUCCUUGUGAGAAGUGGCAAUUGGUUGUGGCAUGCCUUCAACAUUUUCACAUGUAAGCUCCUGCUUCUGUUUUCAAUAAUUUCCUUGCUCGGUCCAAAAUAAACUCUGAUUUUUAGCAGAAACAUAGUGUUCCUACCUUUUGUAAACUCCACCACUUUUCAUUUAGGGCACUAUUUGUGUUGAAGACUGGUUUAACAUUUUUCUGUAUUUCACUUCAGGAUCUUAAGCAUGUAUGAUAUUCAGGAGGAGGAUCUCGAUGGAUUUACUGAGCAUCCACAUUUUUUGGUGUCAGUUGAAACAUCUUCACUGCAAACGCAGCUACCAAUUAUAGAAUUACUAAAAGUACUAUCUUAAUUUGUUGCUUUAUUUUUCUUGUUCCACAUUGGACUCAUCUCCAAGUAGACAUGCAGUAUACAGUAUAUAAUUUGUUCCACGUUUUUCUUUUGUAGGAUUUCAUGAGUGGGAAAGCUCUCUACAGGAACCUCAUGGGUAUCCUUCAGGUUGGGGUCAAUGCCAUCAUCAGCGAGCGAUUGAGUAAAACUUAUGGGAAGAUCUUAGAAAAGGCAGUACAACUUUCUUUGGAAAUCUUACUGCUCGUCUUUGAGAAGGAUUUGCUUGUUUCCGAUGUUUGGCGUCCGCUGUACCAGGUACCUGGUUGUUCGUUUGAUGCAUUUGAGCUUUAUUUUGUAUAUCACCCAGUCAUUCAAACUCCUAAAUAUGUGGUGAAGAUUGUUAUAUGUGAGAAUGCAGUAAUAUAAGUAUUUUUUCGAAAGAGUAUUCAUAGGUUUACCUGGAUGCACUGUCAGAGCUUUCUAGGACAGUAGGAAGUUUGCACCAAUCGUUACCAAGUUUAGCUAUUUCAUCAAUCUAUACAUCCAAUGCCAUACUAGAAAGUGUAUUAUAGUAAUUGCACAAGAUUUUUGUCAAAUUUAAAUAUUCCUGUCUCAAAUUAGAUCCACAUUCUAUUUUUCUAAUCCACAAUGAAUGUAAGUUCUAGUGCACCAUUCGAAUUAGGUUACUAACUUAAAGUCAAAAGAUGAAGUGUAGGAAGCUUAGGGGAAUUGCUUUUAUUGUUGUCAAUCAUAAGCUACUUGACUAAUAGCAAUAUAUAUUAUUCCUCCUCCAACCUUUAGUUAAGUUAGUUUAUUUUGACCAUUAUUGGGUUGGUGGUGUAAAAUGUGAAACGGGACUCUAUUGUUAAUUUGGGAAUUGCUGGGAAACUUUUGGUAUUUUUGCGCCCCACCAGCUAUAGCUUGAACAACAAUUAUUUUCAUAAAGCACAAUCAGCAUGCCUUCCCUAAUUUUAUGUUAAGGCACAAGAUGGUCAAUAAUAUUAUCUUUUGUUAUUGCUGCAGCCUUUGGAUAUAAUUCUCUCACAAGAUCAUAAUCAAAUUAUAGCCUUGCUGGAGUAUGUCAGAUAUGAUUCUCUUCCUCAGAUUCAGCGAUCUUCAAUCAAAAUCAUGAACAUUUUAAGGUGGUAACAAAUUUCGUUUGAGACAUCUCUGUAGUUUGGUUUAACCACAUAACUUUUUUUCUUAGAUAGCAUUAGCAAAUACCAUUAUCAACUACUUUCAGAUCCUCAGACUUUUGGAUGUUUGAUUCCUUAGCUUUGUAUAAUUAGUUUAACCUUAUGUUUUGAUAUGAAUUACACGGGUUUUAUUAAUCAUAUGCUCGAUGACAGUUCUCGCUUGGUUGGACUUGUUCCAAUGCUGAUCAAAAUUGAUGCUGCGAAUUCCUUGAUCGAGGAUUAUGCGGCCUGCCUUGAGGUACGACUUGAAGAGGGUGAAGUUGUAGAGAACAGUUGUGAUGAUCUGGGGGUCCUUAUUAUGCAGGUUAGUUUCAGUAGUUGACUGUUACACUUAAUAGAAUAUCACACUAUGUGCACUAUGGCUUGGGUCUUAUCUACUUUCUUUCAUCAUGAUUGAUUCAUUCGUACAUAUCAUAUCAUCUCAAUGGUAUGACUUUCACAUUUGUAGCUUCUGGUUGACAAUAUCAACCGGCCUGCACCAAGUAUCACACAUUUGCUUCUGAAGUUUGACCUUGACGCCCCUGUGGAAGGGACAGUUUUGCAGCCUAAGUUUCACUACAGGUUUGAUUGUAAUUUGUAUACAGAAUAAUAUGUAUUUCAACCAUGAUCUCAUUUUGUUUUGCAAUCUGCAGUUGUCUGAAGGUCAUUCUUGAAAUGUUGGAGAAGCUUCCAAACCCCGAUAUAAACUUCUUACUCUUUGAGUUUGGCUUCCAGGUGGGAUAUACUAAUGCCGGAUGAUAACUAUCUGGUCUUUUCAAAGAAGUGAAAUUCUAUUUGGUCUAUUGUUUUUUGUACACUUAACUUUUACUUUUUGCAGCUUUUGUGUGAGUUGAAUUUGGAUCCGUUAACUAGUGGUCCAACCAUGGAUCUCUUGAGCAGCAAGAAAUAUCAGUUUUUUCUCCAGGUACACCAGAUUUUGCUUCUCCUUAUACCAAAAUAAUGCCAUCUUUUCCUUGAGGGCUGCCUCAUCCAAGUCACAAAUAACAACUUAUAUUUUACUCGUCCUUACUUUCUUAUUAUACUUUGAUGUUGCAGCACCUCGAUACCAUUGGUGUUGCCACUCUUCCAAAAAGAAGUGGCAGCCAGGCACUCCGUAUUAGUUCCCUUCAUCAGGUAUAUUAUAUAUUCUUUAAUUUCAGUGUCAAGUGUAUCCGACUCUGAUUAGUUUCAUGACAGAAUCUAAGCGGUUUUACUCUCUGCUAUCAACUAUUUUUGUUUAUAACAUUUUUUCCCGAAAUGUUAACUGCCUAUAUGCAAUACUGUUAGAUUUACAGUGAGUAAAAAAAAAACAUUUUUUUUUUUUUUUUUUUUCAUACAAAAAAAAAUAUAUAUAUAUUUUUUUUUGUGAUAGAAUGUCCCUAGGCUGUUUUUGUAUCUAAUACUCUCUGUUUCUGUUUUUUUCUAUUCCAUCAUGCGUAAAUUUUUUCACUCAGCAGAUACAGUAAUUUUUUCUUCCGUUCUUGUUUUCCUGCUACGCUCGACUCAUGUGCAAAAUGAUAUCUGCCUAAAUGCAAUAUUUCUUUUUGCUGGUUCUCAGUCAACGAAAAAGCGAUAAUCUGCAUUUAUGCACUACUUCUUUUUAUUGUGAUACCUUAGAAUUCAUGUAGGUAGUAAUUUUCUUGCUAUGUCUUCCAUAAGCAAAUUUAUGUGGAUAGUUACUUUUUUGCUAAGCUGUCAAGUCUUAUUUGGUUUCUGCUCCCUGUCAUUGUGGAGAGAAUACAAUAGUGGCACUUUUUUCUCUCUUGUUUCUUUAGUAAUAGUUUUUGUUAUCUAAACGUGUUCCUUAAACAGAUCAAAUGACAUGAUCAAUAAUCUAUUACAAUGCUACAUAGUCCUUUUUGCUGUUGAUAACAUUUCUCAUUUUCUCAAUAUCUACCUUUCCCAGAGGGCGUGGCUAUUAAAGCUCCUAGCUAUUGCACUGCAUACUGGUUCUGGAAGCAGUUCAGCUCACCUAGAGGCAUGUCAGAGCAUACUUUCUCAUCUUUUUGGGCGGGAGGUAACUGAAGCAGCGAAUGAACCUUUUUCUUCCAGUACAUAUCCUCAGGAUGGUCUUGAUUAUACUGGAACGAGUUCAAUCAGUAAAAGUAAGGUGAGUUUGGAAACACCUGCGUUUUAUGCUCUACUAUGCUUUAUGGCACAUCCUAGUUUUAUCCCUACUGCCGGUGUUCUGCAUGUGUAGCAUUGGUCUAAGAUUCUACCAUUUUAUAGUUGAGGCCAUCCAUGCAUGAUACAAAUAACUGUACUGACCCCACUCUUUCUGAAGUCACCAGCAUGUUGCCUUGCUGAUGUGCAGUUGUGCACCAUCUCUUAACAGUUUAACAUUCAUUGAAAAGCAGUAUUUAAAAUAUUAAGAUGUCUCCUUUUUUCCAUGCAACAGCAUUUUCCUUCACUGUAAAUCUAACAAUGUUGCGCUUGUCAUCAUUUCUUGCCUAGUUUUAAGUCGUUUUAUGGGUGCUGCUGUCUGACUUUUGUUUCUUCUUUGGAUUGAGUUCAGGCAUUGGCUUUGCUUGAAAUUCUUCAGUUUAGAUCUCCUGAUACUUCGAUGCAGCUUCCUCAAAUUGUGUCCAGCCUAAAGUAUGACUCACUGGUAAGGCUUGGGGAAUAUGGAGGUGUGUUUGCGUUAAGUAUAUUGCUCUAAAUAUGGAGUUUAAAAUUUCAGGUGGAGGACAUACUUGAGAACCGUGAUAACUCUGUUAGUGGCAGUAUCUACUACUAUUCUGAGCGUGGUGAUCGGCUAAUUGAUCUAUCUUCCUUCAGCAACAAACUCUGGCAGGUUAGUUCUUGUUAUAAUGGACAUCAGAUCUUCUCUCUAAUGAACAUUAAUGUUUCUCCUGUAAUGAAUAUUUAUGCUGAUUCUAUUGUUUGUUCAGAAGCUACAUUCUGGAUUUCCCCUAGUGGAUAGUUUUCCAAAUGUUGCUGAGCUUAGUGAAGUUAGAGAGACAAUUCAACAGCUGUUGAAAUGGGGCUGGAAGUAUAAUCGAAACCUUGAGGAGCAAGCUGCCCAACUUCAUAUGUUAGCUGGCUGGUCUCAGAUUGUUGAGGUUGAUUUUUUUCUUAAAAAAUCAGAUCACCUUUAGUAUCAUUAGCGUGUGCCACUCUUUUAAGAUAUCAAGUAUUUAUCUUUUGUGUUGUGCUUCGUAUGUUUUUGUUUUAGGUGUCUGCUUGCAGGAGAAUAUCUUCUCUUGAUAAUCGGUCUGAAAUUUUGUACCGGUGAGUACCUUUUGUAUCAGAGGUUAGUUGCUUGCGGAAGCUUUCUUGAACAUUGCAUGACUUGUUCUUCUCUGGUCGUUGGCAGGAUACUUGAUGCCUCUCUUAGUGCCUCCGCGUCUCCAGAUUGUUCAUUAAAAAUGGCGUUCGUACUUACUCAGGUGCAUUUUAGCUGUUGAGUAACUUUUAUUGUAAAAUGUGCUGUCUAUGUACUAACUUUAGGUUUUAAUAGGUUGCCCUUACCUGCAUUGCCAAACUUCGUGAUGAUAGAUUUUCAUUUCAAGGGGCCUUGAGUUCUGACACCGUGACAUGUCUAGAUGUUAUGAUGGUCAAACAUUUAUCCACUGGUGCUUGCCACUCAGUUCUAUUUAAACUUGUUAUGGCAAUUCUAAGGCAUGAGUCAUCAGAAUCUUUGAGAAGGCGGUACAGUACUAAGUUCCCUUAGUUGUCUUUUUACUUUCUUAUAAUACAACAUAAAGUCAUAUUCUGCCCAGCUUAUCUAAUUUCGGCUUUUCCCCGUUUCUAACACAUUUGCCUUUCUUCAUCAGCCAAUAUGCAUUGCUCUUGAGCUAUUUCCAGUACUGCCAGCAUAUGAUUGCUCUGGAUGUGCCAACAUCAGUUGUGCAGUUCUUGUUACUUAAUGAGCAAGACGGUGAAGAUUUGGAUAUCCAGAAGGCAUGUGUUUGCUGAUUAACCCGAGACUUAUUUUGUUCGGACGAUAAUUUAAUGUUUUUUUUUCUUGUCUUUCAGAUUGACAAGGAGCAGGCUGACCUUGCUCGUGCCAACUUUUUUAUAAUAAAGAAAGAAGCUCAGGGCAUCUUGGAUCUGGUAAUUGUUACUUCUUUAUUGAUAUGAGCCAUAUUCAUUUGCACUGUUUCACAUUGAGAGUACUGAUUCCAGGUAAUCAAGGAUGCAAGUCAAGGCAGUGAGUUUGGGAAAACAAUAUCACUUUAUGUGCUGGAAGCUCUUGUUUGUAUUGAUCACGAGAGAUAUUUUCUUAGUCAGCUCCAGAGCCGAGGUUUCAUACGGUCUUGCCUUGGAAGCAUUAGUAAUAUCUCCUACCAGGUAAUAUCCCUGUGAACUUCUGAGUGUGGUCAUUGCUAUGAAUAUUGUAGAAGUUUUUAGUAGCCCAUUGCUAUGAAAUCUCUUGUUGCAACUUGUUUAACUAGUGGUAAUUAAUUAAUUUGGGUUUGACUGAUAAACUGCAAAAAUAGAUUAAAUUGUAUUUGAGUCAAUAAUACCCUUUCAGUGCGUAGGAGUUCAUACAUGCAAAUUCAAGCUCACAGUUAUUUAUAUAUGCAAGAUCGUCAAAAUAGGAUCGCAAACCUGUUAAAUCUUCUUUAAGAGUGGCAUAAUGUGGCCAGUUAGCUGUUGGUUUGACUUUUUGAUCCACAUUAAAAGACUCGACACCCUAUGUAACUCGUGUGUGUUUUAUGUCCCAUUUACAUAGGAGGUAUCGGCGAUCUUAAUCUUCAUAUGCUGCUAGUUUACAUACUUUGGAGACCUGAUUUAUAUGUGGGUAUUUUUAUUUUCGAGGACUUGUCAUUCAUGCAUGUGCAUUUAUCAUAUUAUUGGGCCCAGGAUGGAACACAUUUGCUGGAGUCACAACAGCGAGCAUGUACCUUAGAAGCAGAAUUUGCAUUGCUACUUAGAAUUAGUCACAAGUACGGAAAGUCUGGAGGCCAGGUUCUGUUCUCCAUGGGUGCGCUGGAACAUAUCGCUUCAUGUAGAGCUAUCAGCUUUAAGGUAAUAUAUUUAUCUGUAGUUAUCAGGUUUUCGAUAUGUGACCUCAAUUUUGCCUCUGCUUUUAAUCCCAAAAGUGCCUUCCAGGGAAAUAUGAGACGGGUGGAUAUGAAACUUCAGAGUGAUGUAGGAUAUAAUGUGCAAAAGCAACGAACAAUAAUCACUGCUGUCCUAAGACUGAUGUUUGCUCUAACCUCAUUGGUUGAGACCUCUGAAUUUUUCGAGGUCAGCCGCGUUUCCCAGAUGACCUUUUCUUUUAUGAUCUUUUGCAUUGCUAAUUCAAUACUCCCUUCCAUAUGUAUUGGCCUGGUUUAGUGAGCAUGAUUUGCCAUUUAAACACUAUUUUCCAGAUCGUUUAGGGCCUUUCUAAGACUGCAAUUUCUAUAUUCUUACUUGUGAUUUAUUUGGGGACUUGUGUGGGAGUAAUACAGACCUUCUAAAAUUGAAUGACAGACACCGAGUUCAGUUUGUUUGAGAUAUGAAAUUAGUAUUGUUUGCAUCUUGUAGAAACUUGAAUGAUGCACUGAUUUUCUAUUGCUAUUGUUUACAUCUUUUAUGCCUCUAACAAGUAGAAGUAGGAAAUAGGUGAGUGUCUUCAAACGUUUCACCUUAUACAAGUACAAUCACUUGAUGACAUUUGCAGUAUAGUUUGCAAGACAUAACAAUCUAAUACUGAGAUGCAGAAAAUUUUAGGACAGUUAGUAUUGUUCUUGUUAGUUUUUUUAGGUAUGAUCUUGAUUUCUUUUUCACCUAUUCUUUUCCUAUUCAACUAAUUAUGCAAGUCAUUGUUGUUGAUUAUUCUGGGUAACUGGUUUUCUUGGUAUGCGAACUAUAAUGAUUUUCUUUCUUCUUUCUCUACCUGGGCGUUUGAUAGGGGAGGAAUAAAAUUGUUCGUGAAGUCAUUGAGUUUAUCAAAGGACAUCAAUUUCUUUUUGACCAACUUCUUCGGGAAGACUUUACUCAAGCAGAUGAUUUAUUGAUGGAGCAAAUUAUUCUUGCAGUGGGAAUAUUGAGCAAGGUAAUUCUUUGGCGAGCUAUAAGUUCUUAAUUUUUUUCUUCUUAAAGGGCAUUUGCUUCUCUUUUUGUGAUUGCAUCUUCAAGAGGGCUCAAAAAAUCCCACAAGCUAGUUAUAGAUGCGUUUUCUAGAAAGUGAGUUUGCUUGUUUUGUAGGUCUGGCCUUUUGAAGAGAACGAUGGAUAUGGAUUUGUUCAAGGGCUUUUUGAUAUGAUGAGCAACCUUUUCAUCGUCUCCCCCAUAAAAUUGAUAUCAUCGCAGGUAGGACAAGUAGUUCAGGUACAUGUUUGAGUAUCAGUAUAUAUUUUUUUGGCACCUUGUCAUCCAAUCCUUGAAUUCUUAUAUUCGAUGGGUUUCUCUUUUUUGUUUGUCAUCUGGUGGACAGAAGGGGUCAGAGCUCAAAUUGUCUCAGUUGCGAUUCAGCUUGACUUCUUACUUAUAUUUUCUGGUGACCAAAAACUCUCUGAGGUUGCAGGUACUUUUGUAGUUAUUUCCCUCGAUUUCUUCUGUCCACGUUUUCAUUAUUCAGUUGUUUGAAUGAACUACAAGUAAAUACUCAUGCCCCUUGUCCCCACACCCACCCCUCCUCCCAGGUUUCCGAUGAUUCUCUUGAUAGUUCCACUAAACUACGCCAACCAACGUUACUGUUGCUUGCAUCUCUUCUUUCGCAUGUGACUGAUUCCCUCGAGAGAGCAGCAGAGAAAAAGUCCUUACUUCUUCAUAAGGUAUAUUAUAUCCUAAUUCCUACUCUUUAUAUGUUUCAAACUCCUUUUAUAUAUAUAUAUAUAUAUAUAUAUAUAUAUAUAUUCGAAGUUGCAUGUAUGAUUGGCAGAUUAGAGACAUAAACGAGCUCUCAAGACAAGAUGUAGAUGCGAUCAUCAAGAUAUGUGAUUGCCAAGAAUAUGUCACACCGUCCGACAACAUACAUAAAAGGUUAGUGAAUUCCUUUCUUCGGCUUGCUCAUGCGUGCAUAUGCUAAAGCAGAAAUGGGUUAUUAACAUAGAAUUUUUCCAGCUUUUUCCUAUCAGUGAUUAGUAAGACGUUUGACAACUGUUUAUAUUUGUUUGUGGCUUGUUACUUACCUCAGGAGAUACAUAGCUAUGGUUGAAAUGUGCCAAAUCGUGGGUAACAGGGACCAGUUAAUCACCUUGUUACUACAACUUGCCGAGCAUGUACUAAAUAUUAUCCUGAUCCAUCUCCAAGAUAGGUAUGCCACUUUAUCUUCAACAAUUAAUAUCUUAAAUGUUGUUAAGUGAAUAUAUUUUGGAAAUCUACGAUGGUCAUACGGUUUGCUCUAGGGUAAUAUGCUAAACACUUGACAUCUGCAGAUCCGUUAGUUCAAAUGAAAGGGGAUCAUAUGGUUCAAAAUCCCAUCUACAACAGGAUGUUACAGAUCUAUGUGGCAAAUUGUCACCUACCAUAGAGAGGCUUGCAUUACUGAAUGAGGUAAAGUCUAAUCGAUUUACGAGAAUUUAAGAUUAUUUAUGUGUUGAAUGGGAACGGUGGUGGUGACCCAACUUGUCUAUCGCAGGGAAAAGUAGGACAUAACCUGAAGGUGUUCCAGAGACUGGCAACGACUGUAAAAGAAAUGGCCAUCCAAAAGUGUUUAUGAUAAUAAGCUUCUCAAGAAAUGUAUUUUUUGUGGUUGAACAAUUUUUGUGUGUGAAAUGUCCAAAUCUGAAAUUGUAGUGCGGGUCUGUAUAACUGAGGUACUUCAAUCACAAAAUAGUAAGGUGUUAUCCAAUAUCCAUAUGAAUUCAGAUAAUACUUUCUCUGAGGUGAUUGGGAAAAACUUUAAAAGCUCCAACUUUAUUUUAAAGUCUUGAAAGCCAAAAACUUUUACCAUUCAGAGUUUUUUUUCUUGUUUUUUUUCACCACAUUCUAACUGCCCACGUCUUCUCUUUUUACUCUUUGUACGUCUAUUCUUUUAAAAGUCAUGUAAGUGUUACUUGAUAUGUUUUAAUCUCAUUAUAAACAAAUCGUCUUUGCUCAAAUUAAAUGAAUUAUACAGCAUUCAAACAUAAAGUCUAAGGGUAUAAAGCAGAAGAAUGAAUGAAUAAAAGCAAAGCAUUUUUUACAACUAGCUAAUCUAAUAAGAUUUGAACAAUUAGCAAGUUCUAUUUGUUAUCAUCUUCUUGGUGUUUUGCCUGUAGAUGAUAUUAAAGUUUCUGAUGUCACCUAAUGUUGGAAUUUUCCCAAUUUGCUCCUUACGUAACCACGAGUUGUGAGUGUCCAAGAGAUGGAUAAGGAGAUAACGGAGGCACAGAAAAUAUUCUCAUCUCUUUACUGUCUUGUCCGUCCCAAAACCCCAUCCAACUUGACGGUGUUAACGGGCAAACCUCAGCCUGAGCCUGAAUUUCUGCCUCUUCCCUCUUCACAGCUUUAUGGCUACACAGGUUACUUCCAUGAAUUUCAUCCUCCGUUACUUGUCUCUUCCUCUUUGCUUUUAAAGACACAGUAGUCUUGUUGUUAUUGUUGUCGUCUCCUAAGUCCUCGUGCUUUCCUGCUUCGAGUGGAAAGUUAAGAAUGGCUUUGCUUCCUCGUAGUUUAAAAGCAGCCUUGUCGUAACCUCUUGCAGCUUCCAUGGCUGUGUCAAAAGUGCCUAGCCAGACACGAACACCUUUCUUGUUUGGGUCUCUGAUCUCAGCCGCAUACUUACCCCACGGUCUUCUCCUGACGCCUCUGUAGUGCCUUUGAUCAUCAACCUCUUGAACCACUGGUGCAGUUGUAGGAACUGCUAUAGUGGCAAGAGGUGGCUUGCGUUGGCUUAGAGUUGAGGUGGUGCAGUGGUGGAUGGUGGAGACAAAGGUGUCUAAGGAAGGGAAAUCGGUAAGAAGGUGUUGGGUUAUGAGAUCUAAAGCUGAUUGGUCUUGUUCUUGUUGUUGUUGAUCUGAAGAAGCCAUAGAUGAAAGGUAUUGGAGUCUUUUUUAGUAUUUGAUUAUGGAUUUUGGGUUUUCAGAGUAGCGGGAGGUUAUAUAUAAAAGUGGGUGAGAGGUUUCGUAGUUAGCUUCUCUGGUUGGAAAGAGGAAGGAUCCUGUUUUCAAUAUUUUUGACUUGGAGUGUUGCAAGUGGACUCUCUAAAUUGUUAUUUUAAGAUAAGAAGGAUUUCUUUUUGUUGUGAGGGGGCCAUAUUCACAAGCUAGUGUCUAUUUCCAGGCUUCUUCAUAUAUACAAAUUAAAAAUUGUUUUUAUUAGAGAAAUUUGAAAGAAACAUUGACAAUUUUUUGCUUUUAUGUGUAAAGUUUAGUUAUAUUUUGGAAAGGUGCACGCAUUUAUGUCCACUUGCCUGUUUUAGACAAUAUUGCCGCCUUGGAUUCUCUCGCUUGGGCACACUAUUUGAAACUUAUAUCUUUUGUUUAAUUGUUUGAAACUAAUUUAAAUUUGGUUUAGUUGAUUUUUGUUUCUUUCACGGCUAAGCAAUGAAGUGUAGAGUUAUUAUAUAUAGCGACUUGCCAAUUGGACAAUGAAAGUUUGAAAUUUCUGCGUGCACGUUUUUGUCCAAUAAAUUAGAAGAUGUCCAAAUAAAUUCAUGUUCAUGGUCAAGAUUUGAAAAUUCCUUCUUUAGUGUUUGAUAAGGAUUAGAUUAUGAAGAUAAAGACCAAGAUAAUACGUUAACAAAACACAGAUACUACAUUAAUUACAUUACAUAAUGUUCUUAAACCACGAUAUAUCCGCCGACAGACAAAGAAAUUGAAUUUCGGACUUUCAGGCGUAUAGUAUUGCUCCUUUGAGGCAACGAGCUACUAUUCUCUGUGGGCUAAUUAAGUUGGUUUGGCCUAAUAGAUAUUGAUUCCAACUUCCUUUUCUUUGCUUCUAGAGUGGGGAAUGGGAUCAAGACCAUAACAUCACGA